AUUCGCUCAUCUUACUGCACGUCUGGUUCUGAAGCAUGUAUCAAUUUGUGUGUCUUUGAUAAGUGCAAUUUUACUACAAUUGACACAGAUCGUUCUCUCACUGAUUUACAGCGUGAAGAACACCAUGCAGGGUUCUGCUCCUCCUUCCAAGCUUCCACCAUGGCCUAAGCCCAAGGCUGGUGGAAAUGUGAGAACCCAGGGCUUGGAGAAGAGCUGUCAGGUUGCCAUUCAGAUGAGCAGCUGCUUUGACAGACAGCAAAGGGUACGUGUGGAGGAAGAAGGGCUGAGCAACCAAAGAGAUGAUGUCCAGGCGAGAAGUAUUGAACAAGGCUUCUCGCAAUCAGCCCUCCAGUGCUAACCUGCUUGCCUGUCAGCCCCUCAUCUUGGCCACGACCUUCCUGAAACUUCCCACUGUCCCAUCAUGAAAGGAAGAGAACAGAGAUUUUUCCAGCUAGGCAUAGGAAAUGUCUACUAGCUGGUAAAUGAAAGAGAAGAACACACAAGUGGAAGAGGGGAGAAGCGUGGCUAGCCCCUGUCAGAAGCAUCAUCUUGGCGCCGGCUAAACCCCGGGUUUCCAGAAGGCACACGACCUGUGUGCUCCUCUCCGCUGCCUGCAAGUCUUGCAUUUCUCUUUGAAUGCUGGGCCUCAAUAAAGUGAGUCUUGGUGUGAAAA